UCAGGAUAUUGAUUAACUUGUGUAAGGACAAAUAGCUAAUAAGUAACAGAGCUAAGAUGUAAAUCUAGAGACCAUCUGACAAGAAAAAUUCCAUAAACAUUUUGCCACUAUUGCUCCCACAGGAAAAGUGACAUGGCUUAACAUGACAGCUACUGGUCAAAUUUCAUCAUAUUUCUUGCUGUAUUUCCAAACACAGAAUACUUGUUGGAGAAGUACAUGGACAGAUUGAAAUUUUUCAGAAGAAAUUAAGAGCUGCAGUAGGCUGAAGCAAUUAGGACUUCAUGGAUCAAGCAGAA
rnacentral:lncRNA from 1 species